AAGCUCUCGAAUCCGCCUGGUGAUUGGGGUGACCGCAGUCGUGGCCUGGGACCCCAGAUACUUGAGUUUUCGGGGGUUUAACAAUACUGAGUGGCUGAUCUCCACCAUGUGGGUUUAUAUAAGUCCACACUAGGUCAGUCACACUCGGAGGAAGUCCCCUUAAUGCCAUGUCUUUCGGAACAUGCCCUUACUCUUCAGCUUGCAUGGCUGUGUGCCAUAAAACAAAGACUUUGGGAUUUUCCUGGGCUCUUACCUGGUCUAAGGUGGAGAAGUGUCUGUGAAUUUCCCACUGUGUUGGGUGAAGAGGACUGUGCCCUUCGUAUGCUUCUGGUGUCCUUUUCACCGCCUGGUUCCUGCAUAUUUCACCACUGGUUUUUCUCGUCACUGACUUGGGUAGAACCUGAUCUCUGCUUCAGAGCUGUGAUACUCUCACUCCUUGUGGAUUGCUGCAAUGUCUCGAUAGCUCCUCCACCUCUACGCUCAAGAGCGCCCAUCAUUGCUUUGCUCUGUUUCUGGAGUAAGAUGCAGGAGGAGUAGAGAAUAUUCCAGAUGCUGGAACAGAGGCAUGGAGAGACAUCAUGUCUUGGGCUGGGUUUCCCAAGAGUCGGACAUUAAAAGGAGUCUGAGAAGGGAAGAGCUGCUCUGUGGAGGUCUCCCAGGUCAAAAGGGCUCGGUCACUGAGGAGCAAGCUGGGGCUGCUGCUGAAUGUGCCUUGGAGUUUUGGAACGAGAACAAUAAAAAUAAGCGUGUUAUGCCG